UACAGGGGGUGCUAGCGUUGUUCGGAAUUACUGGGCGUAAAGGGCGCGUAGGCGGCCUUCUAAGUCGAACGUGAAAUCCCCGGGCUCAACCCGGGAACUGCGUCCGAUACUGGAAGGCUUGAAUCCGGGAGAGGGAUGCGGAAUUCCAGGUGUAGCGGUGAAAUGCGUAGAUAUCUGGAGGAACACCGGUGGCGAAGGCGGCAUCCUGGACCGGCAUUGACGCUGAGGCGCGAAAGCCAGGGGAGCAAACGGG
rnacentral:rRNA from 1 species